GCCCUCGUAGCUCAGUGGAUAGAGCAAGGGAUUUCUAAUCCCUGGGUCGUAGGUUCGAUCCCUACCGAGGGCG
rnacentral:tRNA from 1 species